AUACUUUUCUCGGCCUUUUAGCUAUGAUCAAGUGUAGUAUAUGUUCUUAUUAGUUUAAUAUCUGAUACGUGGGCCAUUGGCUCACAUGAUAUUUAAUUAAUUUUUUCGGGCGAAGACCCGUCACGGUAGAUUGAUGCUGGGUUCUUCGAGUGUCGCCCUUGUGUUGCACUUUUUCUUGGGCCAAGCGCACCCAAU